rnacentral:rRNA from 1 species
GAGGAAUGUAUAGCAAUAGCUACUUGCAUCAUAGUAAAUAUGAUGCAAGCUCGACUAAGUUGAAUAAAAUUCUAGGCAGAAUUAUGAUAAUGACAUUGUCUGCCUAUGUGUCUUGACCAAAUUACGUGCCAGCAGUCGCGGUAAUACGUAGAAGACUAGUGUUAUUCAUGUUUAAUCGGUUUAAAGGGUACCUAGACGGUGAAUCAAGCUUUGGUGUAAACUCAUACAAUAUAAGUUAAUUUACAUAUGAUAAGGACUAAUUUACUAGAGUUACUUACGAGGGGGUAUUAAAGUACUGCUGGUGUAGAGAUGAAAUUCUGUCAUACCUCUUUUCGAUACGAAAAAUAAUGGCACAGGUAUAGGCGAAGGCAUCCCCUUAUGUGCUAACUGACGUUGAGGGACGAAGGCUUCAUGUAACAAACAGGAUUAGAUACCCUAGUAGUUGAAGCAGAAAAUGAUGAAUGUCAUAGAUUAGAUAUAUAAGUUUAUUCUAUAAAUGAAAGUGUAAGCAUUCCACCUCAUGAGUAAUUUGGCAACAUUGGAAUUGAAAUCAUUAGACCGUUUCUGAAACCAGUAGUGAAGUAUGUUGUUUAAUUUGAUAAUCCGCAAAAAACCUUACCACAAUUUGAAUAUUUAUAUCUUUUAUUGUUUUCUUCUUAAUUUUCCUAUGAUGAUAACGAUAACGAUGACGAUAAAAAUGAAAAGAUUUUUAAGAAAAUGGCAAUAAGAUACAUUUACAAGCGUUGCACGGCUGUCUUCAGUUAAUGUCGCGAGACUUUGGUUAGUUCCAUUAAAUUAACGUAAACCCUUACUUUAUUUUUUAUAUAGAGUAGUUCCCCACUAUAUUGGAUAUGAU